CAUGAAGCCGGAAUUGCUAGUAAUGGCAGGUCAGCAUACUGCCGUGAAUACGUUCCCGGGCCUUGUACACACCGCCCGUCACACCAUGAGAGUUGGAGAUACCCGAAGCCUGUGAGCUAACUUAACGAGGCAGCAGUCGAAGGUAGAAUCAAUGAUUGGGGUGAAGUCGUAACAAGGUACC
rnacentral:rRNA from 1 species